rnacentral:rRNA from 1 species
UACGUAGGGUGCGAGCGUUAAUCGGAAUUACUGGGCGUAAAGCGUGCGCAGGCGGUUUUGUAAGCCAGAUGUGAAAGCCCCGGGCUUAACCUGGGAAUGGCAUUUGGGACUGCAAGGCUUGAGUGCGGCAGAGGAGACUGGAAUUCCUGGUGUAGCAGUGAAAUGCGUAGAUAUCAGGAGGAAUACCGAUGGCGAAGGCAGGUCUCUGGGCUGACACUGACGCUCAUGCACGAAAGGCGUGGGGAGCAAACGAGGA